rnacentral:pre_miRNA from 1 species
GAUGCAUCCGGAUGAAGUCUUCAUCGGCCGUUAUCGCGUUAUAUUGGGUCGGUGGGACUUUCGUCCGUUUGCAAG